rnacentral:lncRNA from 1 species
AUCCUCCGGGGGCUAUGUCGGAGGACGCGGUGGAAGUUUUAGUGGGGCCCUGACUGUGACCGAUGGGCUGCUGGGUGGCAAUGAGAAGAUCACCAUGCAGAACCUGAACGAUCGCCUCGCCUCCUACUUGGACAAGGUGCGCGCCCUGGAGCAGGCUAAUGGCGAGCUGGAGUGCGACUUCCCCAGGGAGGGGCAUGAUAAAGUUCACACCAGCCCUUCCCUUGACUUGUCAAUAAAACUAUCCUCCAAGGGAAAA